rnacentral:rRNA from 1 species
AUUGAACGCUGGCGGCAUGCUUUACACAUGCAAGUCGAACGGUAACGCGGGGGCAACCCUGGCGACGAGUGGCGAACGGGUGAGUMAUACAUCGGAACAUGUCCUGGAGUGGGGGAUAGCUCGGCGAAAGCGNAUUAAUACCGCAUACGCUCUGAGGAGGAAAGCGGGGGACCGUAAGGCCUCGCGCUGCGGGAGUGGCAGAUGUCGGAUUAGCUAGUAGGUAGGGUAAAGGCCUACCUAGGCGACGAUCCGUAGCUGGUCUGAGAGGAUGAUCAGCCACACUGGGACUGAGACACGGCCCAGACUCCUACGGGAGGCAGCAGUGGGGAAUUUUGGACAAUGGGGGCAACCCUGAUCCAGCCAUGCCGCGUGAGUGAAGAAGGCCUUCGGGUUGUAAAGCUCUUUCGGACGGGACGAAAUGGUUAGCGUGAAUAACGCUGACUGAUGACGGUACCGUAAUAAGAAGCACCGGCUAACUANGUGCCAGCAGCCGCGGUAAUACGUAGGGUGCGAGCGUUAAUCGGAAUUACUGGGCGUAAAGCGUGCGCAGGCGGUUCGCCAAGUCAGGUGUGAAAUCCCCGGCCUUAACCUGGGAAUUGCGCUUGAAACUAGCGGGCUUGAGUGUKGCAGAGGGGGGGGAAUUCCACNKUGUAGCAGUUGAAAUGCGUAGAGAUUGUUGGAGGGAAACACCCGAUGGCGAAGGCAGCCCCCCUGGGUCAAACACUUGACGCUCAUUGCACGAAAGCGUGGGGAGCAAACAGGAUWHGAUACCCUUGUAGUCCACGCCCUAAACGAUGUCG